rnacentral:lncRNA from 1 species
CUUUAAAAGACGGAAGACAACCGGAGGAGAGCGCUGAGGGAUGAAGUGGGGACGAAGCUCGUGCCCAAUGAGGAUGCGGGCUUACGAUUCUUGGUCUCCGAUCCAAGAAACAAGUGCUUUGGGAUCUGCCAAACACUUCCCUUAGUUCCAUUCCUCCCCUUACCCCCGCCCCAGCACGUUGGAAGUUUGUGCGUGCCGAGUGCGCGCUUGUCGGUUGCAUGCUGGAAAUAAGUAAACGAAGUUACCUGAAAUCUUCGCCCCAGCGAUGACAUCCACCUGCCUGCCAAUUUUAGGGGUGGAGGUCUCCCCAGGGAGAGGCUAAGGAAAGUGGAAACCUGGGAUUUGGAGCAUUUCUGUAGGGAGCCCCGUUCCGUGGCCUUUCUAUUCAUUCCUCUUUCUUCUUGAUACCUAGGAGUCGCCUACUGAGGAGCACGAUUUGCACCCCAGCCUGGGGGUGUUUUAACAACAGGGUGCCUGACCCGGGCCAGCAUCUCCCCAGAGACCUUCAAGGAGGCCAGUGUGUUCAGACACAAAUUUUUAUUCAGACCCAUGUGAGGUGAGCCAGCCCACACGCCGGCUGACUGCGCACAAGGAGUGCCGUGCUACACAGGGGUGUCCCUGCGUAGGGGAUCCCAUGCACAAGGAGCGCGCCCCUCAAGGAGAGCCGCCCCAUGUGAAAAAAGUGCAGCCUGCCCAGGAGUGGCGCCACACACACGGAGAGCUGAUGCAGCAAGAUGACGCAACAAAGAGAGACACAGAUUCCUGGUGCCGCUGACAAGAAUGCAAGUGGACACAGAAGAACACACAGCGAAUGGACAGAGAGCAGACAACCGGGGAGGGGGAGGGGGAGGGGGGAAGGGGAGAGAAAUAAAUAAAAAAUCUUAAAAAAAAAUUUUUUUAUUCAGA